UAAACCAAUGCCUGCUGGUUUUAGGCAAAUAGCUGUUAACUAUUUUUUGCGGGGUCGAGGCCCGCUGGUUUAU
rnacentral:tRNA from 1 species